GCAUUUGUUGCUGUCUGUGUGUGGCCACUUUUCCCCACUCCAGGUAACUCAGCUUUGCCAUUGGGUCUGAUUCUGGCCCUUGGCUCUGAAUACAGACUUCUGUCUCUGAGCUCCUAUUUUUGAUGACUGUCUCCUGCUCUAACUUACUAAGUACGGUUGCCCAUGUUCUGGUUUCUGACAGCCUGCUUUGGCAUCAAAUCAUGUGACGUUACUGAUAGCAAACUCGGUGAGGCAGAGACUCUUCUGUUUGCACAGCGCAUGGUGCAGUGGGGUCUCAAACCCGGCUGGGGCUGAUGCUGGAAUACAAAAAAUAAUAUAGCACAGAGAUAGUCCUGGCCCUGAAGGCACCUACAAUCUAAGCGUCUGAUAACACAGCAAAAGCAGUGCACCGGCUAGCCAACCUGAGCUGGCUGCAUCCAGCUGGCGCAGAUCUUAACAGAAGUGAGGAAAGUGCAGGAUGAGCUUCAGAGUAGGCUAGCGAGACAAGUACAUACCUGGGGUCAGACCAUGUGGUACAACCCCAGCACGGAGGCCUCCACCAUUGCCUGUGCUAACUGGAUUCAAACUAGCUUGGUUAGGCUAGUCCAGGCACAGCUUUCGCUGAGGAGAUGUAUGUUAGGUGGAUUAGUUUAUAGAUGACUAGUGGAUAAAACGGAUGGAGGAGCGCAAGGUAACAACGAGAUGUGGUGCUCAGCAUUAACACCACAAACCAACUGCCUAAGCAUUGAGACUUCGCUCCUGGUUCUGGGAGAGACUGAGCUCUGUAAAUUCCUAUUCAAGUCAAUAAGGGGAAGAAUGGUAUUGAUCUUAAGGCACUGAACUGGGACUCAAGUGAUCUCCUGGUUCAAUUCCCAGUACUGCCAAGGCGUCCUGGGUGACCUCAGAGGAAGGCACCUGUGGACUUACUCUGCCUUUUUGGAGCAGCGGAGACAGAAGGAGACCCAUCCGAGGAGAAGCAUGCCAUGCCUGGGAGAUUGUAGGACCCAUUUGGGGUUGUAGUAAACGACACUUCGAUUAAUACCUGUUCAAAAUUUUCCUUGAGCACACUAUAUUUUUUGCAUCCAGAACAUCACCAUAAAUUGCUACAACUUGCUGUAGUGUUCCACCCCCAUCUCUGAAUGUGUUGUAGCUUGUGAUAAUUUCAAUAAAAUAUUUUGAGCAUGCAGAGAGACAUUGUUAGUGACUUUUGUCACAAGAUGGAUGCACUUCGCUCAACAGAGCAGUCAGUCUUUGAAGGAAAUAUAUCAAAACCAGGCAAGGCGGAGACAAGCAUCUGAAUGCAACAGGGAAAGAAGAAUUGCCUCCUUCAGUUGCCAGACAGUCCCUCAGUUUAACAGAAAAGUCACUGAAACAGAUGCAAAUCACAUACCAUGGCUGUCUGUUUAGAAACCAAUACACGAUGUAAACUCUCACAGACUAUUAAGCAGGUGGCAACCAUUUAGCUUCAGUAUUGCAUGCUCUCUAAGGAAAAGAAAUAUACCUGACAGAUGCUCACUAUUCCGAGUGUACCCGAAUAGACAGAGGGCAGACACUGGACACCAUCCUGUUCUCUUGGGUGAUGUCUACACUGGCAACUGAGUGACACAACUUUUGUCUUUUGGGGUUGGGGGGGAUGGUGUGUUGUUGUUUUUUUUUUUAAACACUUCUGUCAGCAAAACUUGUCUUUCAGAAGUGCUCUCUGCCAACAAAGCUAACCUCCGCUUGGUGGGGGUGGAAAUAUUUUGUCGUCAGGAGAGGCGCACAGGGUAGCCGCUGUCUGCUUUUAGCAGCAUGGC